rnacentral:rRNA from 1 species
AUUGAACGCUGGCGGCAGGCUUAACACAUGCAAGUCGAACGGUAACAUAAAGAAGCUUGCUUCUUUGAUGACGAGUGGCGGACGGGUGAGUAAUGCUUGGGAAUCUAGCUUAUGGAGGGGGAUAACUACGGGAAACUGUAGCUAAUACCGCGUAGUAUCGGAAGAUGAAAGUGUGGGACCUUCGGGCCACAUGCCAUAGGAUGAGCCCAAGUGGGAUUAGGUAGUUGGUGAGGUAAAGGCUCACCAAGCCGACGAUCUCUAGCUGGUCUGAGAGGAUGACCAGCCACACUGGGACUGAGACACGGCCCAGACUCCUACGGGAGGCAGCAGUGGGGAAUAUUGCGCAAUGGGGGCAACCCUGACGCAGCCAUGCCGCGUGAAUGAAGAAGGCCUUCGGGUUGUAAAGUUCUUUCGGUAGCGAGGAAGGCAUUUAGUUUAAUAGACUAGGUGAUUGAC